rnacentral:rRNA from 1 species
GAGGACCACCAUGACAUUCCUAUGACACCUGAUCUUGCCUGAUUUCAGAAGCUAAGCAGGGAUAAGUCUGGUCGGCAUUUGGGUGAGAGAUCACAAGGCAAUAGCAGGGAUCUCC